CUGUAAUGUAUAUAACAUACCGGCCUUGUAAACCGGAAAUGGUCUAAUGACCCUGUAACU
rnacentral:tRNA from 1 species